rnacentral:rRNA from 1 species
GACGAACGCUGGCGGCGUGCCUAAUACAUGCAAGUAGGACGCAGUUGCGAACGGGUGAGUAAUGCGUUGGUUACUGCCUGUUAGAGGGGGAUAACAAUUGGAAACGAUAGCUAAUACCGCAUACUAGUAUAUGGACCUGCGUUGUAUUAGCUAGUUGGUAGGGUAAUGGCCUACCUAGGCAACGAUACAUAGCCGACCUGAGAGGGUGGUCGGCCACACUGGGACGGAGACACGGCCCAGACUCCUACGGGAGGCAGCAGUAGGGAAUCUUCGGCAAUGGGGGGAACCCUGACCGAGCAACGCCGCGUGAGGGAAGAAGGGUUUCGGAUCGUAAAGCUCGGUUGUUAAGGAAGCGGUACUUAACCAGAAAGGGACGGCUAACUACGUGCCAGCAGCCGCGGUAAUAC